AACGAACGCUGGCGGCAGGCUUAACACAUGCAAGUCGAACGGGUGUAGUAAUACAUCAGUGGCAGACGGGUGAGUAACACGUGGGAACCUUCCUAGGGGUACGGAACAACUCAGGGAAACUUGAGCUAAUACCGUAUACGUCCGUGAGGAGGAAGAUUUAUCGCCCUUAGACGGGCCCGCGUCGGAUUAGCUAGUUGGUGGGGUAACGGCCUACCAAGGCGACGAUCCGUAGCUGAUCUUAGAGGAUGAUCAGCCACACUGGGACUGAGACACGGCCCAGACUCCUACGGGAGGCAGCAGUGGGGAAUCUUGGACAAUGGGCGCAAGCCUGAUCCAGCCAUGCCGCGUGAGUGAAGAAGGUCUUCGGAUUGUAAAGCUCUUUUGCCAGGGACGAUAAUGACGGUACCUGGAGAAUAAGCCCCGGCAAACUUCGUGCCAGCCGCCGCAGUAA
rnacentral:rRNA from 1 species